rnacentral:lncRNA from 1 species
CCCAGCGUGUGCGUGGCCCUGGACGCGGCCCACUGCCCGAUUUACAGCCAUGGCCCCUACCCUGAUGUGCAGGGGCAGGAUUCCCCCUCAGCCCAGCCCGGCCUGGCCCCCCUAACGCCGCAACCCACCAGCUCCCGCCAGCAGUGUCUUGGCCCCGAUGUCUUCAGCUUCCCAGACCCCCCUGGUGGGGGGCAGCCCCUCCAGCGCCACCGCUCCACCUCCACCCCCAACGUGCACAUGGUCAGCACGGCCGAGCCCGGGGACGACGCCACCCGGCAGGUGAGAGCCCGGCAGGGCGGGGAGUGGGGCCGGGGCCUGGCGCCUGCAGGGGACGCCGGCUCCCAUCAGCCCCAGGGCAGGGACUGG